rnacentral:rRNA from 1 species
UACGUAGGGUGCGAGCGUUAAUCGGAAUUACUGGGCGUAAAGUGUGCGCAGGCGGUUUCGCAAGUCAAGUGUGAAAGCCCCGGGCUUAACCUGGGAACUGCGCUUGAAACUACGGAACUCGAGUAUGGCAGAGGAAGGUGGAAUUCCACGUGUAGCGGUGAAAUGCGUAGAGAUGUGGAGGAACACCGAUGGCGAAGGCAGCCCCCUGGGCUAACACUGACGCUCAUGCACGAAAGCGUGGGGAGCAAACAGG